GACGAACCGAGCGAACGUUGUUCGGAAUUACUGGGCGUAAAGGGCGCGUAGGCGGCCUGCUAAGUCGGACGUGAAAUCCCUCGGCUCAACUGGGGAGGGUCAUUCGAUACUGUUCGACUCGAAGGCAGGAGAGGGUAGUGGAAUUCCCGGUGUAGUGGUGAAAUGCGUAGAUAUCGGGAGGAACACCAGUGGCGAAGGCGACUACCUGGCCUGUUCUUGACGCUGAGGCGCGAAAGCUAGGGGAGCAAACGGG
rnacentral:rRNA from 1 species